GGCCCGCUGGCGUAAUGGUAGCGCGUCUGACUACGAUAUUGCAAUCCAAAGGCUUCAGGUUCAAGACCUGGGCGGGUCG